UAUCUCACAUACUUCAUGUGGCCCUUCACUCUCCUCUGCUCAUUUGUCCUCACCCUUGCUCUCUCCUCGCGCACGUUAGUCUUUGAGCGAAACCGUAUUCGUGACCUCACCCUUCAUUCUCACCUCCUUCCCAAGUUUUCCUUUCACGUAAGCAUUUUAUACACAUAUGAUCUAAAAUGAACAAUAUAUCUUUUCGAUCGUGUGGGCAUUUGCAAUUAAAGUGAACAACAAAUGUUUUCUCAUGGGUAUACCUUUCGAAAUUUUCAUCUAAACUUUACUUCUAAUCUUGCCACAUAAACAUGUCUGGGUAUACGUAGUAUAAAUCACAGCGCCACCAUGAGUCCAUCAACAAAAUCAUAGAGGGGGCUAUCCUUGAAGCAGAUGAAAAGGGUGUGAAAGUAAUGAGUCUUGGCUUAAUGAACAAUGUACGUUUAUUUACUUCAAAUCCAUUCUAUAUAUAAUAUAUAUAUAUAUAUAUAUAUAUAUAUAUAUAUAUGAAUAAGUAACUAAUUAACAUACGAUUUACUAGAGC
rnacentral:lncRNA from 1 species